rnacentral:rRNA from 1 species
UACGGAGGGUGCAAGCGUUACUCGGCCUCACUGGGCGUAAAGGGCGCGUAGGUGGCCUAGCAAGUCUGGUGUGAAAGCCCAGGGCUCAACCCUGGAAGGGCACUGGAAACUGUUAGGCUUGAGUUCCGGAGAGGAGGGGGGAAUUCCCGGUGUAGCGGUGAAAUGCGUAGAUAUCGGGAGGAAUACCGGUGGCGAAGGCGCCCCUCUGGACGGAAACUGACGCUGAGGCGCGAAAGCGUGGGGAGCAAACAGG